rnacentral:rRNA from 1 species
GGACUACAGGGGUUUCUAAUCCUGUUUGCUCCCCAUGCUUUCGCGCCUCAGUGUCAGUUUGGACCCAGGUAGCCGCCUUCGCCACGGAUGUUCUUUCCGAUCUCUACGCAUUUCACCGCUACACCGGAAAUUCCACUACCCUCUGUCCAACUCUAGUCUUGCAGUCUUCAACGCCAUUCCCAGGUUAAGCCCAGGGCUUUCACAUCAAACUUGCACAACCACCUACACGCCCUUUACGCCCAAUAAUUCCGAUUAACGCUUGCACCCUCUGUAUUACCGCGGCUGCUGGCAC